CGGGUAGAGUAACACGUGGGUUACCUGCCCCGAUGAUUGGGACAACCCGAGGAAACUCGGGCUAAUACCAAAUGUGCUCCUGGCCAUAAUGGCCUUGAGGAAAGGAAGCUUCGGCCUCCGCAUCGGGAUGGGCCCGCGGCCCAUUAGCUAGUUGGUGGGGUAACGGCCUACCAAGGCAACGAUGGGUAGCUGGUCUGAGAGGACGAUCAGCCACACUGGGACUGAGACACGGCCCAG
rnacentral:rRNA from 1 species